GAUGUUUGAGAAGAUCACGGAGCGUGCUGAGGAGAUGAAAGUACACUUAUUCGAUUCCAUGUUUGAUCCAGUGUUGGUCGUGAGUGCUACAGUUUAUCUGAAAACAAUUCCUGUCUGUGAAAUUACAAGAAGUUGAUGACAGAGGUGCAGAGCUCCCUACAGCUGGCGGAGAAGGAGCAUAGGAAGAUGUUCGAGAAGAUCGCCGAGCAUGCUGAGGAGAUGAAGGUACACUCAUUCGAUUCCAUGGUUGAUCAAGUGUUGGUUGUGAGUGCUACAGUUUAUCUGGAAAUAAUUCCUGUCUGUGAAAUUACAAGAAGUUGAUGACAGAGGUGCAGUUGUCUUCAUCUCGAGUUUGCAAGGUGACCUUACCUGAGAUGGCAAAGUCCGUAGCCAGAGUUAUUGAUGGCUUGCGCAGUCGCUACAACAUCCAACCUACGCGAGUUUAGCAUAGCUCUCUUAGUUGGUAAUCACUUCUCCUGUCAUCAACUUGACAUAUGAGUUGCUCAUGUUCAGUAAAUUUUCAUGAACGUAUGAGUGUUUGUCCAUAAAAAUUGGCAGGUGUAGUAUGUAUCUACCAGGGAUAGUAAUUAUUCUUGGUUACAGGAUACCAAAGUGUUGUGGUUCAUUGGGUCCAUCUCCUCCUUCGCCAUCUACUACGGCACCUGCGUGCUCUCUGAGUCAAUGCUCUCCGCCCAUUCGUGCCAUCUUCGUCGGUUGCUCCUGUCCUGCACAAGGUCAUGCACAACAUGUGCCUUGCCGGAUGCCUUCGAUGCCCCACUCUUGAUCAGGUUUGUCAUGCAGCACCUGAUCGAUGCACCAAACUACAAAAGGGCUCAGUGGUGGACUGAUGGGGAGGAUGCAUCGAUGCGGAUUGCGGAAGGUCAUUACAAAGGAAUUCUAGGGGAAUCGUACCAAGGAUCCUGCACAAUGCGAGCCUUGCUAUUGUAUGCCUUCGAGACAUCGAGGCUACAGUGAAGAUGGAGUUAUUUCUUUCAGGAAGGUAGCCUCUUGUUUUGGGUACUGCAGUUUUUUUGAAGCUACCUAGGUAGGUAUAAUGAAGAUGAUGGGUUCGCUUCAGCAUAAUUUCCGUUUCAGUUAUUGAGUUCUUUGAAGGCUACAACAAUUAUAAUACGAACCAGUUGUGAAUCUCUCAUUUGUUUUGAUUAGUUCUAAGUUGUUCUGUGGCAUACAAUUUCAGACUGGGUGGUCUUGAAGUAACGUUACACAAAUUACUUCUAUUAGGUGUAUGCAUGCUUGUGCGUGUGAUUACAAUGGAAGUGCACAUACAUGAAUUUUUUAGUGGUCCCCACUAACUGAAAGCAUAUUGUUGGAGUAAAAGCUCUCCACUACAGUUCCAUCCAUAAGAAAAUAACAAACAUGCGAAUAUUCAAGAACUUAUGGUGUCAUUCCUUGCUACUGAUCAGAAAAAAAUCUCACAAUUAUAGAGUAUUUUCAAGCAUACCAAAUUAUAUGGUUGUGUACAUUGAGACCACAUAAACCAUAUAUGAUGGAUUUUUUGCCAUAGUGUUAAGAAAUAGCAUCACAGUUAGAAACUAUUUUGAAGCAUACCAAAUUAUAUAAGUUUGCCGGCAUCUAUUAGGUGUAUGUUGUCCUUUCAGCGAUUUAGGCAUACUGUAGACACACAUAGUUCGUAGGAAAAGGAACAUGCUAUUGCUCAUCACUGUAAGUAUUGUACGCAAGAUAAAUUUGCAUCAUGUAGGUAGUGAAUACUCUAAUCAUGAUCAAGUUCCUAGGCACUUCUUGUACAAGCACCAUCUGCUAUGAAAUCUUUAGAGUUUUUUUAUGACACAAUUUACAAGCACCAUGUGAGCGAAUGAGGAAUGCUAGCGCUAGCAGCUACUGCGAGCCGCAGUGGACAGCGGUAGCAGCGGUGGUCAGCCGGACAACACAAUGUCGGCGGCAGGCGGAUAGUGGCAAGCAGCCCUACCGGUAGCUGCUGCUGUUAGAAGAAUUGACGACUAGAGCAUGUUGUCUUAAUUUGUUCUCUGUUCCUAUAGGAGGAUUCAAUUCCAUUAAUUGUUCAAACAGAAAUGAUUCCAUUAGGGAGCUGUCUACUUUGUGAUCUACUGUCAUUCUUCUCUGUCCAGACUAACAAUUGGAUGUAGUUCUUUACGUAUUUAUUAGUGCAAUCUUCUUGUCAUUGUUUUAAAGAUCGCAUAUGUAUAUGUGUGACUAGAGGUUAUGACUUAUAAGUGUUUCCGUUGAUUCAGGAAAUGCAAGUAAGGUGUACGUGUUAGUUUCCAGUGUUCAUUGUAAUUUCCUUGUCUUGGACGUAAUUUAUCUCAAUUUAGAUAUGAGAUAUUGGACUUUGAUUCUGCUUUGAAUUUAUUAACGCUCUAGAGUCCACCCUACCUAAAAAAAUCGCCCUCAGCCACUGAUGUACAUCACAACUCUACCUUGGAAGUAUAUAUGAGUAUGGUGUACAGUGCACACAAACGAGGACUACGGCCUAUGGAAUAUGUGUUCCUGGACCUGCUGCCAUGUCAAGUCAUGAGAGAUUUGAUCAAAACAUGUUUCAGGAAGGAUACAUACAACGAUUUUGCUGAGGCAAUGGAUCUGGAAGAGAUGGGGGUACUUGUUCAUGUGUCAUGCUCGUUCAAGAGCCUCAUUGCUCAU